CGAAGGGGGCAAGCGUUGUUCGGAAUUACUGGGCGUAAAGGGCGCGUAGGCGGCUCUUUUAGUCAGGUGUGAAAGCCCUGGGCUCAACCUGGGAGUGGCACUUGAUACUGGAGGGCUAGAGAGUGGGAGAGGUUGGUGGAAUUCCCAGUGUAGAGGUGAAAUUCGUAGAUAUUGGGAAGAACACCGGUGGCGAAGGCGGCCAACUGGACCAUUUCUGACGCUGAGGCGCGAAAGCGUGGGGAGCAAACAGGAUUAGAUACCCUGGUAGUCCACGCCCUAAACGAUGAAUACUCGAUGUGUGCACCUUGUGUGUACGCGUCCAAGCAAAAGCGUUAAGUAUUCCACCUGGGAAGUACGGCCGCAAGGUUA
rnacentral:rRNA from 1 species